rnacentral:tRNA from 1 species
GCGGGCGUAGCUCAGUGGUAGAGUGCUACCUUGCCAAGGUAGACGUCGACGGUUCAAAUCGUUCGCCCGCUCCA